UCCUGGUUAGCUCACGUGGUAGAGCGGUCCACUGUAAAUGAAAAUGCCCCUGGUUCGAUACCAGGACACGGCG
rnacentral:tRNA from 1 species